CCUUCCUUGGUUACAAACUGGUCACCAAGGAAGGCCUAGCCCAAACCACCACAGAUAUGUAUGGAAUGGAUGGUUCUAAACUGCGAUAAUCCUAAUAAUAAUAGUUUUAAAAUUAACUCAAAAAUUUAAAAAAAAAUCCCACAGCGUCUGCCGUAAAAUAAUUCUGAGAAAAUACAACAAGGUGAGCCAAUUCAGCGAUAAUCAUCUUGGUUGAGGGGUAUCUAUGAUUACCCAACCUAUAACGACUGUUAAGAGGGAAGGUUUUGAGACUGAUCUGCAUUUUAGUCAGAUCUGAUGAUUCCUUCUGAUGUAUGAACACAUGCAAGCAGGAAAAGGAUAAAUGUGCAUACAUCUUGUGCUCUGAUGCCACGAUGGUCCUGCAGUGUCCAGGAACAAACAAGGGAGUUGCAGAGAGAAAGCUGUGUUAUCUCUCUCUGCUAUGCUGGAGAGAGAUAAGCCUCACAAACAUGUACAAGGCCCCAGCAGCUGAGAGAAGGUGUGAAGGACAGGGAAGAGAAGACAGAAGGUCCUGGAGAGGACGGGGUCUUGCCUUUUCUCCCUGGUGCCCAGUGCUUCUACAGCACUGAGAGUGGUGAAAGUAAUAGCUGGUUUUGACCUCAUGACAGCUCAGGAGACAGGUGCCAGCCAAACAACACAGAGGAUUUCAUCAUUUUCAUUUUAGGAAAACUGAAGGAAGAUCACACGCUGGGCAGGAAAGCAUGAAGAUUGCUUGAUAAGAUUCCAUUAAAGUGAGCUGACAGCAAGGUUAG